UACGUAGGGGGCAAGCGUUGUCCGGAUUUAUUGGGCGGAAAGAGCGUGUAGGCGGCCAGGUAGGUCCGCUGUGAAAACUCGAGGCUCAACCUCGAGACGCCGAUGGAAACCAUCUGACUAGAGUCCGGAAGAGGAGAGUGGAAUUCCUGGUGUGGCGGUGAAAUGCGCAGAUAUCAGGAAGAACACCCGUGGCUAAGGCGGCUCUCUAGUACGUGACUGACGCUGAGACGCGAAAGCGUGGGGAGCGAACAGG
rnacentral:rRNA from 1 species